rnacentral:rRNA from 1 species
UAUGGGCGUAAAGCUCGCGUAGGCGGUCUGCUAAGUCAGGUGUGAAAUCCCGGGGCUCAACCCCGGAAGGGCAUUUGAUACUGUAGGGCUUGAGUAUGGGAGAGGUAAGUGGAAUUCCUGGUGUAGCGGUGAAAUGCGUAGAUAUCAGGAAGAACACCGGUGGCGAAGGCGGCUCCCUGGACCAAUACUGACGCUGAAGCGCGAAGGCGUGGGGAGCAAACAGGAUUAGAUACCCUGGUAGUCCACGCCGUAAACGAUGAACACUAGGUGUUGGGGGUAUUGACCCCUGCUCUGCCGAAUUCAACGCAUUAAGUGCCCCGCCUGGGGAGUACGGUCGCUAGCUUAAAACUCAAAGGAAUUGACGGACG